rnacentral:pre_miRNA from 1 species
AGUAGAAUAGCUGGGUCAAAUGGUGAUUCCAUUCCAAGUUUUCCAAGGAAUCCUACUACUUUCCAGAUUGGCUGCACCAAUUUGCAGUCCCACCAGCAAU